ACGGGCAGGCUAUACCAUUCCUCUCCAUUCGGCAGCAACGGAACAGAAGGGAAAUACAUAUUUGUAGCCUAUACUGUGAUGAAACUAAUAUUGGGAGAUGGUCGCGAUGGCAAAAUAGCCCAACAAGUCAGUCAAGUAAAUAGAGGUGAUGUGGCAGCUGCAACCAGGUAGACUCAAGAGGCUUGGCAUUGUGUUCUCCAUUCUAUGAUAGAUGGAAGCUACAAUCUCACACCCCAACCUCAAUGCCCAAUGGAAUUUUACAAUAUUGUACAAUGGGAUAUAGAGGAUUGUUGGCUUCUCAUAGCCAGACCAAACCUGGGAUUUUUUCCCCCACAGAUAAACCGAAGAUAAGAGUUUCUGCCUGCUUCACGGUCCAUUAUUACUUUUGGUACGCGCUCGGCCAGUCUCAAACUCGUACCGUGAGUAAUAAUGCACUGUGGCUGUCACUGCCAACGUGAGACGGACAGCACCACAGUUCUCCAUAAUCCUAUGCAUCUCAUCGUUGUAUAGACAGUUGUGAAGCAGGAAAUGUGAUGAAAACUCAGCCCUUGUGUCAGAAUGACAGCAUUUAAAUAUAAUAAUUUAGGAUACUUUCAUAUCCAGGGAAGAAAUUGACUAGCCAGUUUACCUAAAUAUUAUUGUUUAAUUAUUUACUUUAAAUGUGUUGUUGGAUGUUACACUGACAUUUGUACAUUUUAACUCUAAAUGGUAAAUCUUAUUUAUACUUGCAAAAUAAAUUCCAUGUGCCUUGUGACUGUUA